rnacentral:rRNA from 1 species
AGCGAACGCUGGCGGCAGGCCUAACACAUGCAAGUCGAACGAACUCUUCGGAGUUAGUGGCGGACGGGUGAGUAACACGUGGGAACGUGCCUUUAGGUUCGGAAUAACUCAGGGAAACUUGUGCUAAUACCGAAUGUGCCCUUCGGGGGAAAGAUUUAUCGCCUUUAGAGCGGCCCGCGUCUGAUUAGCUAGUUGGUGAGGUAAAGGCUCACCAAGGCGACGAUCAGUAGCUGGUCUGAGAGGAUGCCCAGCCACAUUGGGACUGAGACACGGCCCAAACGCCUACGGGAGGCAGCAGUGGGGGAUCUUGCGCAAUGGGCGAAAGCCUGACGCAGCCAUGCCGCGUGGAUGAUGAAGGUCUUAGGAUUGUAAAAUCCUUUCACCAGUGAAGAUAAUGACUGUAGCCGGAGAAGAAGCCCCGGCUAACUUCGUGCCAGCCGCCGCGGUAAGAC